rnacentral:lncRNA from 10 species
CCAUGCAUACAUAAAUAAUUAAGAUGUCAUAUUUAUUUCAAGCUUCUUUAAUACAUAAAUUAUAAAAGUUGAAAAAAAUGUUGCUGCAAUGGAUCAACUAAAAAUAUGGUUGUAAAAAUACUAUAGCAUCUGUGGUGGAUUUAAGAUGGUCACAGAUUCUUUGGCUCUCUGUUUCUUCACCCCCUUGAAUCUGGGCAGAAGUGAUGUGUGCCAGUACAAGGCUUGUCUUUGACAAGACUGGCUGUUUCUGCCUUCUGGAACAUGGCAGCCAUGUUGUGAGGCAGCCCAAGCAGCCACGUAGAGAAGCUCACGAACUUUCUUCAUAUACUGACAGCCCAGUUGAACUUCCAGCCCACAGCUAGCACCAACUUGCCAGCCAUGUGAGUGAAUCAUCGUGGAAAUGAUAUCUGCCAGCCCUGGCCAAAAUGCCCCAGCUGAUGCCACAUAAAGCAAAAAUUAGCAGUUGCCACCAAGCCCUGCCUAAAUUGCAAAAUCGUUGAGAUGUUUCCCAAAAUGCCUCACAAAUAUUCUGGGAUGUCACCUUUUGCAAUGGAUCUGCAGGUUCCAUCGUGCCCUAGCUUUUUGCCUGAGGGGAGGCUCUGGCCAUGGGUCCCUUUUCAGGUCAGCAAGAGUGCCGUGCAGAGCAGGAGCCCCAUCCAAUGCUCUACAGGUAUACCAUCCAAUACUGUCCAAUAUUGUAGCCAUAUGUGACUAAUGAGCACUUGAAGUGUAGCUAGACUGAGAUGUGCUGGAAGCACACAAAACACAACUCAUUGUACAGGCUUAUACAGUACUAGUCUUCGAGAGAAUGUAAAAUAUCUCACUAAUAAUUUUAUAUUAAUUAUGUGUUGAAUUGAUAAAAUUUGGAUGUACUGGAUUAAAU